AUUGAACGCUGGCGGCAGGCCUAACACAUGCAAGUCGAGCGGAGCGGCGGACGGGUGAGUAAUGCCUAGGAAUCUGCCUGGUAGUGGUGGAUAACGUCCGGAAACGGGCGCUAAUACCGCAUACUAUCAGAUGAGCCUAGGUCGGAUUAGCAAGUUGGUGGGGUAAAGCCCUACCAAGGCGACGAUCCGUAACUGGUCUGAGAGGAUGAUCAGUCAAAUGGGACCUGAGAAACGGUCCAGAUCCCUAGGGAAGGAAGCAGUGGGGAAUAUUGGAAAAGGGGCGAAAGCCUGAUCCAGCAAUGCCGGGUGGGUGAAGAAGGUCUUCGGAUUGUAAAGCACUUUAAGUUGGGAGGCGUUACCAACAGAAUAAGCACCGGCUAACUUCGUGCCAGCAGCCGCGGUAAUAC
rnacentral:rRNA from 1 species